rnacentral:rRNA from 1 species
AUUGAACGCUGGCGGCAUGCUUUACACAUGCAAGUCGAACGGUAACAGGCCGCAAGGUGCUGACGAGUGGCGAACGGGUGAGUAAUGCAUCGGAACGUGCCCAGUCGUGGGGGAUAACGCAGCGAAAGCUGUGCUAAUACCGCAUACGAUCUAUGGAUGAAAGCGGGGGACCGUAAGGCCUCGCGCGAUUGGAGCGGCCGAUGUCAGAUUAGGUAGUUGGUGGGGUAAAGGCCCACCAAGCCAACGAUCUGUAGCUGGUCUGAGAGGACGGCCAGCCACACUGAGACUGAGACACGGCCCAGACUACUAAGGGAGGCAGCAGUGGGGAAUUUUGGACAAUGGGCGCAAGCCUGAUCCAGCAAUGCCGCGUGCAGGAAGAAGGCCUUCGGGUUGUAAACUGCUUUUGUACGGAACGAAACGGCUCUGGUUAAUACCCGGGGCUAAUGACGGUACCGUAAGAAUAAGCACCGGCUAACUACGUGCCAGCCGCCGCAGUAAGAC